GACUUUGCUAUUUCAGAAGUGGCAGCACUGGCUAUCUGUCAAAUCAGGAUCUGGACCAAAGUGUUGACUCGAAUACAUACACAGAGUGUUGGCAAGCUAUUUUAUCAUGGAGUUAGUGACACAUUGUAAACAUUCCAAUGUGCUGCCUAGAAAAGAGCACGCAACAUCCCAAUCUAAUUGCUUUAUGCUGGUAUUCCUCCAAUACAUAAUAAUUAUUCUGACUGAAAACAUGGUAGCCAAAGGAAUACUCCUCGAUUGUCCCCCAUCCUCUUUCUUGGAUCUUAACUUCUAGGAUUGUUUGUUCAUAUUAGUUUACUCGCUGGCUGCCACAUUUUGCUUCCCAUGUGAGAUCUAUUGAAUUUCACGUGUGUUGAUGGUGUGGAAUCCUGGUAUUGCUAACUAUUAGCUCCAGUCUAAAUUUGGUCUUGUUGCCGAUUUUUUUUGGCACAAUACUUUCCCUCCAGAAGCCGGUCUUUAGUGAACUAUCGGAGGAGGUUGAUCCAAAAUAUUCAUUGGUGCAUAACUUAGUAGUACUGCAACUUUUACAGAUAGAUUCUCAUUAUGAUUUACUUUUUUUGUUCUUUUCAGAUUCACUGGCCUAUUAGCACGAAAUGUGGUAAAACCCUUUUGAGAAGAGCCUUGCUGUGCCAAACUUUAAAGUUCUGUUGAUCGUUCGACAUUCCAAGAACUUUUCCAGGAAUUCGAAGGAAGUUCUAGUGGCAGCUUAUGUUCACUGGCAAAUGCUGCGUGACACAUUAUGACACACAAAACAAGCCUAGACGCCCAUUUAUUCCACAUCAAACAUCUCUUUAUCCUUCGUGAGCAGAUAACUCCUUUUCAAGUCGACUUAAAAGUAGCGGUCGACGAAAUAGCGGGCAGCAGAGUGCCGAUUUGACUUUUGAGAACGUUAUAUUGGAGCACUUCCACCACUUUGAAAAAUUUGUGACAUCUAAUGUGAAGCUGCCCCUUCAACACUACAACCAAAUUGAAGAUCUCGAUUCGGCUUUAGCCAACAACGAUCUAUCGAUU